GAGUGAGUGCAGUUGACUUGCUGCUGGUGGUGGUGUGAUAUGCACUUGUUCAUCUUCCUGCAGCGUCAUCAUGAAUGGAGGACCGCGUGCCACAUCCCAAGUCCGUAUGCUCGACCAUAAAAUGAACCCUCGGCCGCCCGAGCAGGAGCAGCAGCACCAGCAGCAGCAGCGAUGGCAAGAAGAAUCAGUCAAACCUUGUUCAUCUUCUUCUUCUUGCUGAUCCUUCUCUUCGACGCGUCGGUUUCAGGCCGUGCCGAAAUCAAGGACGAUCCAACAGAAUCACCAAACCCUGCGCAACUCUUCUCCAAGAUGGAAACUAGGAGGGCUUUGGUGGAGUAUGCACUAGAUUAUGACUACGGAGGGCACAACCCCAAACAUGAGCCCAGGAGGGGAAAGCCAGGAACUGGUAGCAGGAACCCGUAGAUCCUUGGAAGCAAGCCUCUUCCGUCAAACAAGUUCUUCACGGGGACUAAAAUCUGCAGCAAUGUAAACCUAAUAUAUCUUGAAUCCACGUUGGGAUGUUUUUUUUUUUUUGCUCACUUCUCACUUCCUAAUAGUAUAUUUCUUAUUCCAUGGCUUCUAAUAGGGAUCACAUCAUCGUCAGUUAA